UCUGAGCGCAUGUUUUAAAACCACGGCGGGGAAACUGACACCUUUCAGGCGUGCCGUGCGAAUGUAUUGCGCCGUCAUCACUUCGGUCAUGGAGGCGCGUGUCAUGCGGGCAAUAUAACCCAUGCCAUAAAGCGCCAUGGUCGCCACAGGCAGGGUAAAAUUGGCAAAUGUCAG
rnacentral:ncRNA from 1 species